AUUGAACGCUGGCGGCAGGCCUAACACAUGCAAGUCGAGCGGAUGAAGGGAGCUUGCUCCUGGAUUCCGCGGCGGGCGGGUGAGUAAUGCCUAGGAAUCUGCCUGGUAGUGGGGGAUAACGUCCGGUAACGGGCGCUAAUACCGCAUACGUUCUGAGGGUGAAAGUGGGGGAUCUUUGGACCUCACGCUAUCUGAUGAGCCUAGGUCGGAUUAGCUAGUUGGUGGGGUAAAGGCCUACCAAGGCGACGAUCCGUAACUGGUCUGAGAGGAUGAUCAGUCACACUGGAACUGAGACACGGUCCAGACUCCUACGGGAGGCAGCAGUGGGGAAUAUUGGACAAAGGGCGAAAGCCUGAUCCAGCCAUGCCGCGUGUGUGAAGAAGGUCUUCGGAUUGUAAAGCACUUUUAGUUGGGAGGAAGGGCAGUAAGUUAAUACCUUGCUGUUUUGACGUUACCAACAGAAUAAGCACCGGCUAACUACGUG
rnacentral:rRNA from 1 species